rnacentral:rRNA from 1 species
UACGUAGGGUGCAAGCGUUAAUCGGAAUUACUGGGCGUAAAGCGUGCGCAGGCGGUUUGCUAAGACAGGUGUGAAAUCCCCGGGCUUAACCUGGGAACUGCGCUUGUAACUGGCAAGCUUGAGUGUGGCAGAGGGGGGUGGAAUUCCGCGUGUAGCAGUGAAAUGCGUAGAGAUGCGGAGGAACACCGAUGGCGAAGGCAGCCCCCUGGGCUAACACUGACGCUCAGGCACGAAAGCGUGGGGAGCAAACAGG